CCAAUUUCAAUUAUAGGGUGGCUUUCAAACAAACUCUAAAAAAACGUUUUGACAAAAGAAAAAUUAAAAGAUAAACAAGAACACCCCCCCUCCCCCCGCGUCAUCUUCCUGACGAGUAACGACCCCCUUCCCUCCGUAACGAAGCACCCAUGUCAUCUUCUCACAGACUCACUCCUAUUCCUUCUAAUCUGCAUCCCUAAUCAUCUACAACAUUAAAAGCAAGUAUAAAACAUAGAAAUCAACCAAUAACAAUUUUACUAUCAUCAAGGAUUAACUCCAAAUUGCUAGAAAAUAAAUCUACCAUCAAAUUUCCCCAGAUUUUAGUGAUGCCUCAAAGUAAAAGCACUACCAACAAGCUCGUCGGUGCCUGAACCUCCGGAUUUUAGAUUCGAAAAACUAUUUUUCCAUAAUUAUACAGAUAUUGACCUCAUAUCUUAAGAGAAGGGUCGAAAUUGGGUGGUAAGCACAACAACUUGCAGAAUGAAUUAUGGGCUUUAGUUUUUGAUAAAUUUUGAUAAUGGAAAGGAUACAUAAAUUGGCGAAAUGGGAUCUGGGUAUGGUGAAAUAGAGCAGCGGUUAAAGGUGGCUAAUUGGAGAAAAAGAAUUUGAGUUAAGAGAAAAGAGCAAAGAGUCGAAGAAGAAUAAAUGUGUGAAAUUUUUCCGGUAAUAUUCAGUGAUUCCUGCAAUCUAUAUAUUAUUAAAAGGCAGACAAAGCUCUCUCCUUAAGCAUUCUAAAAAAAUACAUGACAUAUUUAGUUACUAAUUAGUUAUUUAAUUAUUAAUU
rnacentral:lncRNA from 1 species